UAAACGAUGAGUGCUAAGUGUUGGAGGGUUUCCGCCCUUCAGUGCUGCAGCUAACGCAUUAAGCACUCCGCCUGGGGAGUACGACCGCAAGGUUGAAACUCAAAGGAAUUGACGGGGGCCCGCACAAGCGGUGGAGCAUGUGGUUUAAUUCGAAGCAACGCGAAGAACCUUACCAGGUCUUGACAUCCUUUGACCACUCUAGAGAUAGAGCUUCCCCUUCGGGGGCAAAGUGACAGGUGGUGCAUGGUUGUCGUCAGCUCGUGUCGUGAGAUGUUGGGUUAAGUCCCGCAACGAGCGCAACCCUUAUUGUUAGUUGCCAUCAUUCAGUUGGGCACUCUAGCAAGACUGCCGGUGACAAACCGGAGGAAGGUGGGGAUGACGUCAAAUCAUCAUGCCCCUUAUGACCUGGGCUACACACGUGCUACAAUGGGAAGUACAACGAGUUGCGAAGUCGCGAGGCUAAGCUAAUCUCUUAAAGCUUCUCUCAGUUCGGAUUGCAG
rnacentral:rRNA from 1 species